UACGUAGGGGGCUAGCGUUGUCCGGAAUCAUUGGGCGUAAAGCGCGUGUAGGCGGUCCGGUAAGUCCGCUGUGAAAGUCGGGGGCUCAACCCUCGAAAGCCGGUGGAUACUGUCGGGCUAGAGUGCGGAAGGGGCGAGUGGAACUCCUGGUGUAGCGGUGAAAUGCGCAGAUAUCAGGAAGAACACCUAUGGCGAAGGCAGCUCGCUGGGACGGUACCGACGCUGAGGCGCGAAAGCGUGGGGAGCAAACAGG
rnacentral:rRNA from 1 species